GUGGGAGGGGGUUGUGCAUGCUGGUUGGUGUGGGCUGCCUGUGGACCAGUCAGCAUGCACUUCCCCACCCUGAA
rnacentral:miRNA from 1 species